ensembl:lncRNA novel transcript, antisense to QPCT
UCUAGUUCCCAGAAAAAUCAGAACAAGGAUACUGAAGCAGAACCAUUUCACAGAGAGCAAAGAUUUGAAGGUGGGAUGACAAAUCCAGUUCCAUCUUAACUGGAAGCACAAAUUGAGAGUAUGCAGCUCUUUAUACUCACAUGGGAAAAUAAGACGUAGAAAUCAAACACUUCUGCUGCACACCAAAGGGCAAUUGUCUCAAAGAAAAGCAUUUGUACCGUUGUUUCAGAAGUAUAGUGGGCCGCAGUGGCUCACAUCUGUAAUCCCAACAUUUUGGGAGGACAAAGCAGGUGGAUCACUUGAGGUUAGGAGUUCAAGACCAGCCUGGCCAACAGGAUAAAACCCCCAUCUCUACUAAAAAUACAAAAAUUAGCUGGGAAUGGUGGCAGGUGCCUGUAGUCACAGCUACUCCAGAGACUGAGGAAGGAGAAUCACUUGAACCUGGGAAACAGAGUUUGCAGUGAGCAGAGAUCACACCACUGCACUCCAGCCUGUGUGACAGAGAGAGACAGUCUCAAAAAAAGAAAAAGAGAGAGAGAGAGAAGCAUAGUGAACUUGCUACUUUUUUCAUGAAAUUCCAAUUUAAUUGAAAGAACAAUGACUGAUAAAUUAUGAUUAUUCAGACUUGGAUAUUUGGCAGACAUUUGAAGAUGAAUAAAGUGCGCCUAUCCCUUGAAGGAAAAUAACUGACACUGUUUGUUGCCAGUGAUAAAACUGGAUCUUUGCAGUAAAAAUUGGAAUUUUGGAUAACUUGUAUCUGCUACCAUAAGCUUGAUAGUUUCCUGAUAUGCAACAACUUUUAUGACAAAAUUGGUGAUUUUAACAAAUGUGAUUAUUUAUU